ACCUAGCCUGACGAUGACGGUUUCCCUUCGGGGGAUCAAAAGGGAACGCGGUGAGGAUCUUGCGUCCGAUGCCGCGGCUGCCCCCGCAACUGUAAGCGGCGAGCCCAUCAUCAACACGUCACUGGAGGCUCCGGCUUCUGGGAAGACGAUGAGAGGGCGGUGACCCGCGAGCCAGGAGACCUGCCGUCAGUCGUGGUCACAC
rnacentral:ncRNA from 2 species